rnacentral:ncRNA from 2 species
CGCACUUACUAGGGGCGCCAAUCGGCUGAGAUGAACCCUUUGAACCUGAUCUAGUUAAUACUAGCGGAGGGAAGUAGGAAUGAUUUCGA